CUACGGGGGGCAGCAGUGGGGAAUAUUGGACAAUGGACCAAAAGUCUGAUCCAGCAAUUCUGCGUGCGCGAUGACGGUCUUCGGAUUGUAAAGUGCUUUCAACAGGGAAGAAGUUCUGACGGUACCUGUAGAAGAAGCGACGGCUAAAUACGUGCCAGCAGCCGCGGUAAUACGUAUGUCGCAAGCGUCAUCCGGGUUUAUUGGGCAUAAAGGGCAUCUAGGCGGCUUUGUAAGUCUGAUGUUAAAAUGCGGGGCUCAACUCCGUAUUGCGUUGGGAACUACUUAGCUAGAGUAUUGGAGAGGUAGGCGGAACUACAUGUGUAGAGGUGAAAUUCGUAGAUAUAUGUAGGAAUGCCGAUGACGAAGGUAGCUUACUGGACAAUUACUGACGCUGAAGUGCGAAAGCUAGGGGAGCGAACAGGAUUAGAUACCCUCGUAGUC
rnacentral:rRNA from 1 species